UUCUGUACUAUAUUGGUACGCCAAGCUUCCAACCCGCCUCUGGCGGUUAUGUUUGGUCAAUUUCUUUUGACCGGGGUCUACGGACCCC